rnacentral:rRNA from 1 species
GCUUACGACCACACCGGUCUGAGUACACCUGAUCUCGUCUGAUCUCGGAAGCUAAGCAGGGUCGUGCCUGGUUAGUACUUGGAUGGGAGACCGCCUGGGAAUACCAGGUGCUGUAAGCU